ACCGACGACCACGACUAUGACGUCAAGAUGCGGUCGGUGAAGCGGUUCCUGGACGACGGCGACAAGGUCAAGGUCACCCUGCGCUUCCGCGGCCGCGAGAUGGCGCACCAGAGCCUGGGGAUGGAACUGCUGAACCGGGUCCGCGACGAUGUGGGCGACGCCGGCAAGGUCGAAUCCAUGCCCAAGCUGGAAGGCCGGCAGAUGGUGAUGAUGAUCGCGCCGCGCUAAGGCGCCGGUCCUUGUGGUUUCAGCGGCCCGCCCCCUUGGCGGGCCGUUUUCGUAUCGGGAAGGGCAUAUGGA
rnacentral:misc_RNA from 1 species